UCUUUGUCACCAUUUUGCCUAUUAGGAUGUCUCUGGCUCUUCAUGUGAUCUACUGUUUAAAACCCUUCACAAGUUCUCUAUUGCUAUAUGAAAAAAUCCAAACUGCGUAGUACCACACAUGGAGUCCUUCAUAAUUCAGCUUUUCCCACCAACACAGCUUUCUGUUCCAUCACUUCUUCACACAGUACAGCAAAUUGUUUGUUUCCAGAAUACCUGUGCUGCUUCUGUCUAUCUUCUGUCCUCUUCCAUCUUCAUAACUGAUGUGCAGAGGGCCAAGUUACAGGGGCUUACAGGCAUUGUGUGAACCAUCAAUAAGACAUGAGCCUGGUGGUACAGCAGCCAUUUUGCCACCAUGAGUUGACCAGCAUGAGGCAAAGGUCUACACUGUGAGGAUGACAGAGGAAAGACAGGAAGAGCUUGGAUCCCAGAUGUCAUCACUAAACUGUCAUUAACCCUGGAUUGUCCACACUGGAAUUUUUGUUUAUAGAGAUAAAUGAAAUAUUGUUUGAGAGUUUCAAUUGUGCCGCUGAAUACAUUGCUAACUGAUAUAAAGGACUGACAAGGAAUUUGCAUAUUAUAAUUUUAUGAAACUGUCAAUGACUUUCCCACCUGAUACAUUAAUUGAUAGUUAUAAUCUGUGCAGAAAGGACAAAAAUGGGGUUUCUCAAUGUCUACCCUCAUUAGUAACGGGGCAGAGGGGAAAGCCAGCAGCCUACGUCCCAAUUGUUUCCAUUCUGGUUUCACUCUUCUGCUACUCGUUAUGUCUCUCCACCUCUCAAACACUAGCAAACAAUGUCAGAAGACCCAUGUGAAGACUCCAAGUUCUUCAGCUUUCGGACUCUUGGACUUACACCAGUGAUUUGCCACAGGCUCUCGGGUCCAAAUACUGAAGGCUGCACUGUUGGCUUCCGUACUUUUGAGGUUUUGGGACUCCGACUGGCUUCCUUGCUCCUCAGCUUGCAGAUGGCCUAGUGUGGGACUUCACUUUGUGAUCAUCACAAUGCUGCAGUUCAUUUCACAGCUGAGAAAACCAGGAGCCAGACAGAAUAAGGGACAGCCAAAUUUAUUGAGACUCUGGACAAAUAUGAUGCCAAAUGCAGCUGCUCUUGGAACUCACGGCUUCCCAAACCUCAGGAGACACAGAUCCCUAUCCUUGUUGACCUGAGUCGUUGAAAACAGACUGGCCUAUUUACU
rnacentral:lncRNA from 10 species